rnacentral:rRNA from 1 species
AGUGGCGGACGGGUGAGUAACGCGUGGGUAACCUGCCCUGUACAGGGGGAUAACAGUCAGAAAUGACUGCUAAUACCGCAUAAGACCACAGCACCGCAUGGUGCAGGGGUAAAAACUCCGGUGGUACAGGAUGGACCCGCGUCUGAUUAGCUGGUUGGUGAGGUAACGGCUCACCAAGGCGACGAUCAGUAGCCGGCUUGAGAGAGUGAACGGCCACAUUGGGACUGAGACACGGCCCAGACUCCUACGGGAGGCAGCAGUAGGGAAUUUUCGGCAAUGGGGGCAACCCUGACCGAGCAACGCCGCGUGAGUGAUGAAGGUCUUCGGAUUGUAAAGCUCUGUUGUAAGGGAAGAACGGCAUCUAGAGAAUAGGUGAGUGACGGUACCUUACCAGAAAGCUACGGCUAACUACGUGCCAGCAGCCGCGGUAAUACGUAGGUAGCGAGCGUUAUCCGGAAUUAUUGGGCGUAAAGGGUGCGUAGGCGGCCUGUUAAGUUUAUGGUGAAAGCGUGGGGCUCAACCCCAUAAAGCCAUAGAUACUGGCAGGCUAGAGUACUGGAGAGGGUAGUGGAAUUCCAUGUGUAGCGGUAAAAUGCGUAGAUAUAUGGAGGAACACCGGUGGCGAAGGCGGCUACCUAGACAGAGACUGACGCUGAGGCACGAAAGCGUGGGGAGCAAAUAGGAUUAGAUACCCUAGUAGUCCACGCUGUAAACGAUGAAUGCUAGGUAUCGGGGCGACCCGGUGCCGAAACUAACGCGAUAAGCAUUCCGCCUGUGGAGUAUGCACGCAAGUGUGAAACAUAAAGGAAUUGACGGGGGCCCGCACAAGCGGUGGAGUAUGUGGUUUAAUUCGACGCAACGCGAAGAACCUUACCAGGCCUUGACAUCCCUUGCAAAAUCCUGGAGACAGGACAGAGGUUAUCAAGGAGACAGGUGGUGCAUGGUUGUCGUCAGCUCGUGUCGUGAGAUGCUGGGUUAAGUCCCGCAACGAGCGCAACCCUUGUCUUUAGUUACUAACAUCAAGUUGAGGACUCUAGAGAGACUGCCGGUGAUAAACCGGAGGAAGGUGGGGAUGACGUCAAAUCAUCAUGCCCCUUAUGGCCUGGGCUACACACGUACUACAAUGGCUAUUACAACGUGCAGCGACAGCGCAAGCUGAAGCGAAUCACUGAAAGAUAGUCUCAGUUCGGAUUGAGGUCUGCAACCCGACCUCAUGAAGUUGGAAUCGCUAGUAAUCGCGGAUCAGCAUGCCGCGGUGAAUACGUUCUCGGGCCUUGCACACACCGCCCGUCA